rnacentral:lncRNA from 1 species
UCAAAAAAAUGGCAGAACACACUUCCACGUACUCCAACACUCCCUGGGGCACCACAGCAGCCUGCGGGACUGUCGGGGAGCCCACGUGGAUAUGUUUGCCUUUAUCCACAUCCAGCCCACAUCUGUAGCCAUUCUGUCUCUAUUCACCAUCUGCAUUUCUGGUCCCAUUGUAACUCUAUCCAUUCAGCAUGUGCACACUUCAAUGCCCAUCCAUACCCGGCAUCUGUUUAUAGUUGUGUACCAGAGCUGAAUGGCAGCCACACUGAUUUCACCAUCAGCGAAACUUCCAAUAUUAGACCCCCUCUCCCUUCUGGACUCGAGGCCCGGACAUUUUCAGGGGCUGCCCUCUUGUCGUCUCACACCACAUGGCAAAGCGUUCAUCAAAGCACCCUACGGCAUCAGCUAACCCAAGGGUCUUCAAGCCUCCAAGGAGCCACAUCUGCGAUCGGUAACAGCUUCUGAGGUUAUCAAUGCCCAUCUGUGUCGGGCAAUCAAAUACCCUCAACUGAGGAACUUAAGGUUAUUUAAGAGUCGGCUUGCCCAAGGAUCCGUGAAAGGAGCUAAAAUGACUGGGAAAGAAAUCUCCCUGCAUGUCUAAUUUCAAAGCCUUGCAAGUCUUGCAUACAUCUCUGAGUAAAUUGAAAAAUUAAAAGUCUGCCUUUUAAAUACAUUUUUUAAAAAGUUUAAAUAAAUUUGCUCGCUGCUUAGGAUCUUCA